CCAAACUUUUAAAUACAUAUAUUUAAAGUACUCAUCUUUAAGUUUAUGGAAUUGUAUUGAGCAGUCAACCUGGUUUGUAUAAGAUCCACACAUACUCCAGUUUGUAGUAUUUGAACCCAAAGCUGUUACUUUGAAGCAGUUAAUAGACUAGAA